rnacentral:rRNA from 1 species
UACAGAGGUGGCAAGCGUUGUCCGGAUUUAUUGGGCGUAAAGAGCGUGUAGGCGGCUUUACAGGUCCGUUGUGAAAACUCGAGGCUCAACCUCGAGACGCCGGUGGAAACCGUAAAGCUAGAGUCCGGAAGAGGAGAGUGGAAUUCCUGGUGUAGCGGUGAAAUGCGCAGAUAUCAGGAGGAACACCCGUGGCGAAAGCGGCUCUCUGGGACGGUACUGACGCUGAGACGCGAAAGCGUGGGGAGCAAACAGG